rnacentral:rRNA from 1 species
UACGGGGGGGGCAAGCGUUGUUCGGAAUUACUGGGCGUAAAGGGCUCGUAGGCGGCCAACUAAGUCAGACGUGAAAUCCCUCGGCUUAACCGGGGAACUGCGUCUGAUACUGGAUGGCUCGAGUUUGGGAGAGGGAUGCGGAAUUCCAGGUGUAGCGGUGAAAUGCGUAGAUAUCGGGAGGAAUACCGAUGGCGAAGGCAGGUCUCUGGGCUAUAACUGACGCUCAUGCACGAAAGCGUGGGGAGCAAACAGG